rnacentral:rRNA from 1 species
GAGUCGAAGGUCCCCGGCUCCGGGGGCCUGGCAUACGGCUGAGUAACGCGUGGCCAACCUGCCCUGCGGAGGGGGAUAACCCCGGGAAACUGGGGAUAAACCCCCAUAGGUGACCGGAUCUGGAAGGACCGGUCGCCGAAAGUCCCGGUCGGGGACGCUCCGGCCGGGGGCCGCAGGAUGGGGCUGCGUCCUAUCAGGUAGUUGGUGGGGUAACGGCCCACCAAGCCUGUGACGGGUAGGGGCCCUGAGAGGGGGAGCCCCCAGAUGGACUCUGAGACAAGAGUCCAGGCCCUACGGGGCGCAGCAGGCGCGAAAACUCCGCAAUGGGCGAAAGCCCGACGGGGUUACCCGAGUGCCACCCUCGUGGUGGCUUUUGCCCGCUCUAAAAAGGCGGGCGAAUAAGGGGAGGGCAAGUCGGGUGUCAGCCGCCGCGGUAAUACCCGCUCCCCGAGUGGUGGAGGCUAUUACUGGGCCUAAAGCGCCCGUAGCCGGCCCGGUGUGUCCCUCGUUAAAUCCACGGGCUUAACCCGUGGGCUGCGGGGGAUACUACCGGGCCUGGGGGUGGGAGAGGCGCCCGGUAUUCCCGGGGUAGGGGUAAAAUCCUCUGAUCCCGGGAGGACCAUCAGUGGCGAAGGCGGGGCGCCAGAACACGCCCGACGGUGAGGGGCGAAAGCUGGGGGAGCAAACGGGAUUAGAUACCCCGGUAGUCCCAGCUGUAAACGAUGCGGGCUAGCUGUCGGGGCGGCUACGGGCCGCCCCGGUGGCGAAGGGAAGCCAUUAAGCCCGCCGCCUGGGGAGUACGGCCGCAAGGCGUGAAACUAAGAGGAAUGGCGGG